GACGAACGCUGGCGGCGUGCUUAACACAUGCAAGUCGAACGGAAAGGCCCUGCUUUUGUGGGGUGCUCGAGUGGCGAACGGGUGAGUAACACGUGAGUAACCUGCCCUUGACUUUGGGAUAACUUCAGGAAACUGGGGCUAAUACCGGAUAGGAGCUCCUGCUGCAUGGUGGGGGUUGGAAAGUUUCGGCUGUUGGGGAUGGACUCGCGGCUUAUCAGCUUGUUGGUGGGGUAGUGGCUUACCAAGGCUUUGACGGGUAGCCGGCCUGAGCGGGUGACCGGCCACAUUGGGACUGAGAUACGGCCCAGACUCCUACGGGAGGCAGCAGUGGGGAAUAUUGCACAGUGGGCGGAAGCCUGAUGCAGCAACGCCGCGUGCGGGAUGACGGCCUUCGGGUUGUAAACCGCUUUCGCCUGUGACGAAGCGUGAGUGACGGUAAUGGGUAAAGAAGCACCGGCUAACUACGUG
rnacentral:rRNA from 1 species